UCAAACACGUGAUUGCCUUUCCGGAAAUUUCUUUUGGAUAUUGUUGGAUUUGAAUUAGAGAGAAAAACGUGCUUGACUUUGAGUACCAAGUAGUGUGUUUUGUUAAUAUUACUGGUUGGAAACUAUUAUGGAUGACGAAGAGGAGACUUACAGGUUAUGGAAAAUCCGUAAAACGAUAAUGCAGUUGUGUCAUGAUCGAGGAUAUCUGGUGACACAAGAUGAGUUGGACCAAACACUCGAAGAGUUUAAAAGUCAAUUCGGCGAUAAACCCAGCGAGGGUCGCCCACGACGGACAGACCUCACUGUUUUGGUGGCUCACAACGAUGACCCCACUGAUCAGAUGUUCGUUUUCUUUCCAGAGGAACCUAAAGUUGGAAUCAAGACGAUCAAAAUGUACUGUCAGCGCAUGCAGGAAGAAAACAUUACCAGAGCCAUAAUCGUAGUACAGAUGGGAAUGACGCCUUCGGCGAAACAGUCUCUUGUUGACAUGGCACCAAAAUACAUCCUGGAGCAGUUCCUCCAGCAAGAGCUUCUUAUCAACAUUACAGAGCAUGAGCUGGUUCCUGAACAUAUAGUCAUGACCAAGGAAGAAGUGACUGAGUUGCUGGCCAGAUAUAAGCUUAAAGAGAGCCAGUUACCCAGGAUUCAGGCAGGUGACCCAGUGGCUAGAUACUUUGGACUGAAAAGAGGACAGGUGGUGAAGAUCAUCAGACCUAGUGAGACUGCUGGCCGGUACAUCACAUACAGACUUGUACAGUAGAAACAAAGGGCUGUGUGUGUUGGAAUGUCUGUACUCUAUGUACUAACCCCACCCCAAAUUCCAGGCGUUUGGCAGACUUUCUGGAAGAACUUUGAGUGAAGAGUUCUCAGAAGUGGACACAUCUCAUACACGUCAGAACAUCAAGAACUUAGUACACACACACCAGAAUUGGCAAAAAUAUGACCUUGUUCCCCCCUCUACUUGAUUACCCAUGAUAUAAUUCUUGCUAACUCAAAAGGACAAACUUGUGUAAAAUGGCCAUUUAUUAAAACAUUUUUUUUACAUACA